rnacentral:rRNA from 1 species
AGAGUUUGAUCCUGGCUCAGAAUGAACGCUGGCGGCAUGGAUUAGGCAUGCAAGUCGAACGAAGGUAGCAAUACCUUAGUGGCGAAAGGGUGAGUAACGCGUGAGUAACGUACCCUAAAGUCCGGGAUAGCUCGGGGAAACUCGAAUUAAUACCGGAUGAGGCGGCGACCUGGCAUCAGGUUGUUGGCUAAAGGAUUAAACCGUUUUAGGAUCGGCUCGCGUAUCAUCAGCUAGUUGGCGAGGUAAUGGCUCACCAAGGCUUUGACGAUUAGGUGGUCUGAGAGGAUGGUCACCCACACUGGGACUGAGAUACUGCCCAGACUCCUACGGGAGGCUGCAGUCGAGAAUCUUCCGCAAUGCGCGAAAGCGUGACGGAGCAAUGCCGCGUGAGGGAUGAAGGCCUUAGGGUUGUAAACCUCUGUCACCCGGAACGAAUCAAUGACGGUACCGGGAGAGGAAGCCACGGCUAACUACGUGCCAGCAGCCGCGGUAAGACGUAGGUGGCGAGCGUUAUUCGGAUUUAUUGGGCGUAAAGGGUUCGUAGGGGGUUGAUUAAGUUCAGUGUGAAAGCCCGCGGCUCAACUGCGGAACGUCACCGGAUACUGGUCGACUAGAGGAUCGGAGAGGAGAGUGGAAUUCCUGGUGUAGCGGUGGAAUGCGUAGAUAUCAGGAGGAACACCGAUGGCGAAGGCAGCUCUCUGGACGAUACCUGACCCUGAGGAACGAAAGCCGGGGGAGCAAACAGGAUUAGAUACCCUGGUAGUCCCGGCCGUAAACGUUGUAGACUCGGUAUGUGGGGAGUUAGUCCCUUCCGUGCCUUAGCUAACGCGAUAAGUCUACCGCCUGGGGAGUACGGCGGCAACGCUAAAACUCAAAGGAAUUGACGGGGGCCCGCACAAGCGGUGGAGCAUGUGGCUUAAUUCGAGGCCACGCGAAGAACCUUACCUGGGUUUGACAUGUAACUGCCGACCGGUGAAAGCCGGUUUCUCUUCGGAGCGGUUACACAGGUGCUGCAUGGCUGUCGUCAGCUCGUGCCGUGAGGUGUUCGGUUAAGUCCGGCAACGAGCGCAACCCGUAUCACUAGUUACCAGCGAGUCAUGUCGGGAACUCUAGUGAGACUGCCCGUGUCAAGCGGGAGGAAGGCGCGGAUGACGUCAAGUCAGUAUGGCCCUUACAUCCAGGGCUGCACACGUGCUACAAUGGCCGGUCUAAUGGGAAGCAACGUCGCGAGGCGGAGCCAAUCCUCAAAACCGGCCCCAGUUCAGAUUGUAGUCUGCAACUCGACUACAUGAAGUCGGAAUCGCUAGUAAAGGCGUAUCAGCAUUGACGCCUUGAAUACGUUCCCGGGCCUUGUACACACCGCCCGUCACAUCAUGGAAGCUAAAUGCACCCGAAGUCGUUGACCCAACCGCAAGGAGGGAGGCGCCGAAGGUGUGGUUAGUAACUGGGAUGAAGUCGAAACAAGGUA